rnacentral:rRNA from 1 species
UACGGGGGGAGCAAGCGUUGUUCGGAAUUACUGGGCGUAAAGCGCGUGUAGGCGGCUCGAUAAGUCGGAUGUGAAAGCCCUGGGCUCAACCUAGGAAGUGCAUUCGAAAACUGCUGAGCUUGAGUUCUGGAGAGGAAGGCGGAAUUCUCGGUGUAGAGGUGAAAUUCGUAGAUAUCGAGAGGAACACCGGUGGCGAAGGCGGCCUUCUGGACAGCAACUGACGCUGAGACGCGAAAGCGUGGGGAGCAAACAGG